CUAACUGGGGGCACAUAACAUAACAUAACCUAAUCCUAAUAUUUACAUUUGUAAAGAAUAUCCUGUUUGUUUUUAUUGUCGAUUGUUCAGCGAAAUUGUGUGCAGCAAAUCAAAUAUAAAGUAGUUUAUCGCCUACAGAACUGAAUUAAUCCAUAGCAGUUAUCAGUUUUUCUUUCUUGGGAAGCUUAUACAUGUAACUUGUAUUGUUGUAAAUUGUGGGAGUAGGGCAGACAGGGAAAAGUCUUAUUUUGUACUGUUCCCAAGGCUCCCCAUGCAAUACAUUUAAAUGAAUUAUCCAAACAAAGCUGGGGACAAUGGAUAAAAGCCACAAGAAGAACAGAUAUAAGGGAACUAAAAUUAAAAUAUGAAAAGUAAACAUUUUAUAAGUGGAACAACCACCAGAUAUUUAAAAGGUAUAAAAAGAAGAAACUGCUGGAAUUUCAAAACAAAUGUGUUUGACUAGUAAAGAUUUGGAUAAAUAACAGGAGUUACUUUGGGCUAUAGCUAAGUGCAGAUUUAUUUCCUUGUGGCUUCCUAUGUUAAUUCUUAUUAAUUAUACACUUAAAUAUGUUUUUAGUCUCAGGAAGAUUUUAUAUUUGAUUAUUUUUGAAUAAACAUUAUUAUUAUUAUUACCUUAAUUUCCAUUAAAUAAAUUAACUGUAAUCAAUAAAGUAAUCGUUUAAUUGUUAAUAAAUUAUCAAGUAUGA